CAGUCCCGCGGUAAUACAGAGGGUGCGAGCGUUAAUCGGAUUUACUGGGCGUAAAGCGUGCGUAGGCGGCUUUUUAAGUCGGAUGUGAAAUCCCUGAGCUUAACUUAGGAAUUGCAUUCGAUACUGGGAAGCUAGAGUAUGGGAGAGGAUGGUAGAAUUCCAGGUGUAGCGGUGAAAUGCGUAGAGAUCUGGAGGAAUACCGAUGGCGAAGGCAGCCAUCUGGCCUAAUACUGACGCUGAGGUACGAAAGCAUGGGGAGCAAACAGGAUUAGAUACCCCAGUAGUCCCUGUCUAUUAUACA
rnacentral:rRNA from 1 species